GUUCCCCAUCCUCUUACAGAUCUCACAGCAAGGUCCUGCUUUCAAAGGCAGUUUGGAACAGGAUUCAAUGUCCAAGUCAUGGUACAGCUGAAUGUCUCAGAAAGGGCAAAUCGUGGGGAAGGUGGAGUUUUAAUCCACUUUUGCUGUCAUUAAACAUACAGUCAACAAGCUGUCCAGAGUUAUUGCACAGUUCUUUUAAAUCAAAACAUUACCUUGUCCUCUUAUUAUUAUAGACAUAAUGUUUCUAAAAUUCAGCAAAACCCCCCUACCUGUUUUACUUGCUGGAGGAUAUAUAUGUAUCUUUCUGCAAAGCUCUGUAGUUUUUUUUAACAUUAUGAAAUACUGGACAAAAGGAUGCCUAUGGACCUCCUCUGUGGAGUCAGUCAUCUGUGUGGCAGUAAACGAGGACAGCAGGCUGUACUGCCAGUGAGCACAGCUUAUAUUGGAACGGGGUGCUAUACCAGACAUUCACAUCAAGCUUCACUCGGUGAUGUCACAGCGGUGUUUCAAGAGGUCUUGUCUGCUGAUCUUCAGGGAUCUAUUUAUCUAAAUAAGCUUUGAAAAAAUGCGGUAGCACCACAGCCUUCCCUAAGCACAUAUUGGUUCAAGUAUACCAUCAUACAAAGACAAUGAGGAACAAAUUAACUUCUGGAAUAUUA